rnacentral:misc_RNA from 1 species
GGCGAGGGAUCUCGGGUCAACUUCUUUACGACCGGAAUCACGUCGGACGAAACCUGCCGAGCCAGACGAACGGCCUGCACUCGAAUGUUGGCGUCCUUGUCAUUCGUUGCUAGUUCGACAUAGUGCGCUUCGCGGCCAGGGAUCUUGGCAAGCAACCACAAUGCCCGUGCGCGAUGCCGCGGAUUGGUUGACUCGGUAAAGAGUUUGAGCAGCGCCGGCUCGGCCUGCGAGCCCAUCUUGUGCAGCUCGGUCCAGGCGAUGUACCGCGUCGCCAGGUUCGGAUUCAGUAAUGCCGCGACGCAACCCGCCGCUGUCGAAAAGUCUGGCUUGGCGACCUGAUACCGAUCGCCUUGGUCUGGAGGGGUCACACGGAAAAGGCGGCCGUGUUUCGUGUCCUCCAUGCGGUGACCGCCAACACCUGGGUCGUACCAAUCGGCGACGAUUAGCGAGCCGUCCGGAGCGACGCCCACAUCCGAGGGCCGGAACCAGCGGUUGGCAGCCCCAUCGAGAAUGUUAACCGUCUCGGCCUUAUAUCCCGCACCGUCGAGCGUCACAGGAUAACAGCGCACGAUACUCGGUCCGGCAUCGCAGUGAAUCACCUGUCCUUGAAAGACCUGCGACAGGAGCGAGCCUUCAUAAACGCAGAUUCCGGUCGGCGAACCUGCGCCGGUCUGUAGCAGAUUCGGAACGACGCCGGGAUCAUUCAGGUGCCAAUGCCGCAGUGGAAUCUCCUGUUCGAGAUUCGUGCGUUCCGCCUGCCAGCCGGCGCCGGUCAUUUCGUCCUUAUACC